rnacentral:rRNA from 1 species
AGUGAACGCUGGCGGCGUGCCUAAUACAUGCAAGUCGAACGAAGUGGCGCACGGGUGAGUAAUAUAUAGUUAAUCUGCCCUACACAGAGGAACAACAGUUGGAAACGACUGCUAAUACCUCAUAUUGUAGGCUGAGACUAUAUCGUAUCAGCUAGUUGGUAAGGUAAUGGCUUACCAAGGCUAUGACGCGUAACUGGUCGGCGGGGAUGAUCAGUAAAAUUGGACCUGAGGCACGGUUCGAACUCCUACGGGAAGGAGCAGUAAGGAAUAUGAGCCAAGGGGGGAGACUCUGACGGAGCAACGGCUCGUGGAGGUUUACACUUAUCGGAGCAUAAGCUCGUUUUAUAAGGAAAGCGGUACCUAAUGAGUAAGCCCCGGCUAACUCCGUGCCAGCAGCCGCGGUAAUAC